rnacentral:lncRNA from 1 species
GAGCCGCGACCACAGACAGCGAGGCGGAGCGAGCAUGGCGGGGGCCCCGGCCGCUCUGCUGCCCCUCGUCCUCCAGCUCACGAGCGUGGCCGUGGCCUCCGCGACGGACGGAGGUAAGUCGGGGCGCUGAGGGCCUGGGGGCGGCCGGGAAGGACCCCAUUUCUUACUCAGCCCAGCCUGAGGGAAGGAGCUGGCGCCAGGCUGCCUCUCCCGACCCCCAGCCUCGGGGUGCGGGCGCCUCUCGGGCGGCCUCGGUCCUCCCCGUCGGUGGAGGAGCCAGCAAGGGGGCGCGGCCCCGAGGUUGAGGCCCCGGGCCCAGAGGAGGGGGGGGGGGCUCCCUGCAAUGGCUGGAGAGGAAUUCCUGCAGGCAGCGGUGGGGGAGAGGCUGCCCUGGAAUCUGGGAGUCUGAAGUUAAUUAUUUGUCUUGAGAAAGGGGGAAAAAAGGAGGCCCACUAUGGGAGCCGACUUUGAGGCUGUGUCUGGCCUUCUCCUAGGAGGGCAGGCAGGAAAAGAGGGGUCAGUGCAAGCACUUGGCAGCCGGCUGGGGAGAGGGGAGCCGAGGACAAUUCCAUGGGGAGCAAUCAGGCUCCGUGAAACAAUCAGGAGCUCUUUCUGCUGGUCUCUCCAGGCAAGGGACUGGUCCUGUCUUCCCUGCCGGAGACCCCCCAGCCUCUCCCUGCCUCCCUUAGUGUGACUGCUUAAAUAGGUCUGGAGGAGGGGUCAUGGGGUGGGGGUGUCAAGCCGGGGCGGGAAGGGGGGCGGUUGACGGUACUGAUCAUCUGCAACUGCCCUUCAGGGCGCCAAGAAGAAUGCUAGAUACUGGAGCCAUACCAAGGGAGCACAGUUCCAGGUGACAGGAUACCCGGCAAGGGAGGGGGAUGGGAACGUGCACAAGAGGUUUGGGAGCUGGCGUUUGUUGGGGCGUUAGACCCCGAAGGUGGGGAAGAGCAGGGCACGGAGGCAUUUGCAAAAGGUCACCUUUGGACUUGCUGCUGGUAACCUUCAGAUGUGUGACUUAGAGAGGUGGGUGCCAGAGAGGAGGAGCAGGUGGAGGCGGGAGGUGGGCUUUGGCUUCAGCCUCCUGAGUGGAAAGAGGGGAGAGAAGAGGGAGGAGUGGGUUGGGGACACCUGGGCGAGACCAGAGGCUGGUGGGUUGGGGGGUACAAAACGGGGAAUCUGAGGCCCAGAUCUCUUAGUAGGCGGGGAUAGCAUUUCCCAAGCCAAGAAACUCAGGCCAAAGCAGGUUUGGAAGAAAGAAGACAACUUGGGUUUCAGAUUAGACUCUCCAACCCCCGCUUGGGGGUGUGGGGACAAGGGAGUGGGUGACACAGUCCCUUACCUCACAGGACUAGUGUCUUCGAGAAACCCAGGCCCGGCCUCAUUAAUGAGCUGCCUCUGAGGGAAAGACCCUCCUCUCUCCGUCCUCCUCUUCCUCCUCCAGCCCCUCCACUGCCCACCCCCCACCCGGAAGAGCGAUCUGGUCUGUGGGAUGUCAGUGGAGUCAGCCUAUCCCCGCCCCAUGGUUUUUACUUUCCUGACUGAAGGGGAGGGAUUAAAGUGAGGUGGAAAUGGCUGUCCAACCUCAGGCCUGAACUCAGAGAAACCCCCUUCUCUGACGCAGUGUCAUCAAAAAACCAGGGACAGGCUGUCUUUAUUCAGCCUGGUGCCUUGGGAGCUAGUGGGGGCCCUGCCAACUCCUUCCCCAAACCCUUCAAGAAAUGCAGCCCCCUCUGCCCAGUGUGGGGUCCUGUCUUCCAAACCAUGCAGGGGAGGAGGGUCACCCUGUGCCCCACCCCUGUCUACCUGCCCACUCCCCUGCCAGGGAAGGAGAAAUGGUCUGUGAGGGUGCUGGCCUGAAAGCGUGGAAGGAGGAGAAGGCAGCCCUGGGUGGACCAAAGUGACCCAGACCAGCUUUCCCGAGUAGCAAGAACCUCUGUCGGGUACAGAAUGCGGGCUCCCGAUGUGGGGGUCCCCAGGCCCCUCUACCACAGGCCUGGAAAUAGUGGCAAGGCUGGGCGCAGGGUGGGGGUGGAGCAGAGGGAGCAGUUGCCCCUCCCUGUGCACAUUCUCUGGAAGCAGUGCCCUUGCUGACGGGUGAGGACAGGCAGUUGGGGGGCCAGGGCUGCUCACACCAGACCCCGGGCCCCAUAAAGCAGCCCCACCUUUCACAUGUCCGUCUCCCUCUCCUGCCCUGCAGCCUGCACUGGCUUCUGGGCCCUCCCAGCCUGACUUGUCAGCUCCCGGGGCUAACCCUGGCCAAGACCCUGACCCAUGUCAAGAUGGAUGACCCUGACACGCUCCCCGUGGCUGGGGACCCCUGCAGCAUCAGGGAGGCUACAGGGAGGCCCCGGUCUAGACACUCCCUGUCGUAUCCCCAGCAGGUCAGGGACCCUGGGGCUGAUAUCUGACCGAGGUUCUUGCUACUUGGGAAAGCUGGUCUGGGUCACUUUUGUUCACCUUCUCCCUUCUCCUUCCACGCUUCCAUGCCAGCACCCUCAGAGACCAUAUCUCCUUCUCUGGAAGGUAGGUGGGCAGAUGGACAGGGGUGGGCCACGGGGCAACCCCUCCUUCCCUGCAUGGUUUGUAAGACAGGACCCAGGAAACCUUGCUAGGAAACCUUUCACCCACAGGCCCACCUUGGAUUCUUGUACUCUUCAGGUGGGGUCAUCCUCCCAGAGCCCCCUGGGCUUGCUGACAUCCAGGACUACCAGCAGCAGGCACCAGCCCGCUCCUCAUCCCAUGCUGGGGCCCCACAGGAGCAGUGGCGCCCCCUGGAGGAGCGACUGGAAAGGCUGGAGGCCCAGAUGAUGGAACUCAGAGAGAAGGUAGUGCUGGAGGCCGGAGGGCUUGUGGGGGGUGGGGGGUGGGGGGGGUAGGGCAGGUCUUGUGUAGUGAGAGGAAGGAAGGAUUGGACUUGGGGGAGGGAGCCCGGGAACUCUAAAACAGAGUUUUAUUUUAUUAGUUUUUUAAUGCCAGCUUUUUGCUUUUAUUAUUUAUUUAUUUAUUUAUUUAUUUAUUUAUUUAUUUUUUUUUUUUUUUUAAUUUUAGAGGAAGAGCACGAGCGGGGGACAGGGGCAGAGGGAGUGAGAGAGAAUCUUAAGCAGGCUCCAUGCUCGGUGUGGAGUCUGACUCGAGGCUUGAUCCCACGACCCUGGGAUCCUGACCUGAGCCAAAAUCAAGAGUCUAACGCUUAACCGACUGAGCCAUCCAGGCACCCCGAGUUUUAUUUUAAACGCACAUGGAGAAAUUCUUAUAUGAACAGCUCUUCACAUCGAUUCUCUCAUAUAAACGAAGAGCCUCCGGAGUAUUUGUUUUUUCCAUCUAGACUUUCGUAUUUUCAUGUGUUUGACAAAUAUUAUGGAGGACCUACGAUACAUAAGGCAUCAUCAGGAAAGAUUUUGGAUGGGUAAAGGACUUAAACUGUUAGAGAGAGGGGAUCGGGUCCCCUUCUUUCCAAAGGAGAGGUCUGGGCGCGCCAUGUCCCUCUGGGAGUCUGUCCAGACUCUAGGUCCUGAGAACCUGUGUCUAAACUGGACGCUGUGUGGAGGGCACCCACCUCUCCCCUGGAACUGUCAGAUUUCCUUCUCGUCCUGCUUGGUCUUCACACCCUACAAAUCUGCGGGAUGUGUUGGGUAGCGGGGAGCUGAGCCAGUGCCCCCCACUUUCCCCUCUCCCUCUUUCCCCAGAACAAAGAGCUGCAGGCGAGGGUGAGGCAGCUGGAGUCCUGUGAAUGCCGCCCAGCGUCUCCCCAGUGCUGGGGGCUGGGGCGGGCCUGGCCCGAGGGUGCUCGUUGGGAGCCUGACACCUGCACCGCCUGUGUCUGCCAGGAUGGGACCGUGCACUGUGACCCCAAGCCCGACCUGCCCCACUGCCACGGUGAGUGCCACCCCGUCUGCCUGCCAGGACCACCUCGGCACCUAGAGAUGGCCGCGAGUGCCUGAGUGACAGCACUAUCUUCUCCCCAGGCUGCAGCCACAAUGGUCAGACCUAUGGCAACGGGGAGACCUUCUCCCCGGACGCUUGCACCACCUGUCACUGCUUGGUGAGUUCCCGCGACCCACCUGGAUAUCCCAUACUUGGCCCCCUCACCUGCUUCACUUAAGCUACCAGCCACUGCGACCCGGUGUGCUCAAUGUCAUGUAAUGGGGUCUGCCUGCCCCUCCCCCAAAGUUUUGGCCGCCAGUGGCUCCGGCUGAUUCCAAGUGGCUAUAUUUUCUGGGGCUUAACCCCCCCCCCCACCACACGCACAUGGCGGGGGCCCCCAAACCUCUCUGAUUUGGGCCUGGCAAACAGUGGCAUGGAGGGCAGAGAGGAUGGAGUUGCUUGUCUUCCUACAUGCCCCCUCUCCUGUGGACCCUCUCUGUCCCUGCCCAUCCACCUGUCCCUGUCAUCUACCUGCCUAUUCCCCCUCACUCGGCUCACAUCCACAUUCUUCCAGCCUUUCCUUCCUCGCUCCUCCGUUGAGGAAGUUUUCAGUUCCCUUCCUAGGAUCUCUCCACUCUGGGAACUUGCUGGCACCUGGAAGAGAUGCUUUCUGGGGGCCAAGAGCAGUAGGAGAUGAUGGGAGUGGGGGUAGGGUGUCUCUUUCCUGCCCUCAGACCGAAGGUAACCCAUGUACCCUGAGCUGCUUCAACUUCUUGCUCCUCUGGUGUGUCACAGCCUGGGGUGAGGUUUCAGUUCUGGAGGCCAGGUCCUCGGGGUUCUGAUGGCUGGGCAGCCACUAGUCUGCUUCCCCACAGGAGGGAACCAUAACGUGUACCCAGAAGCCAUGCCCAAGAGGACCCUGUCCGGAGCCAGGAACAUGCUGUCCUCACUGUGAGCCAGGUCAGCCUCCUGCCAGCCUCGCCUCCUGCACUCAUUCUGGGGCCCCCAGAGCCAUCGUCUGCCCCCUGCCCCCUGCCCCCUGCCACAUGCCCAGAGAGUGCCUGCCCACCCACUCUGGCAGUAGUUAGGGAAUUCAGAACGGAAGCACAGCCAGCAAAUACUCACUCCGGCCUGGGACCGAUCCAAAAGCUCUGUAUGAUCCUUUUCCUGCCCCCAGGGAGCUUCUAAUCUAGUUGAGAAAAUAAACAGCCAACAUAACACAAGAUUUAAGAUCCAAUGAAUAGAGUAAGAGAACGUAAAGAAGGGCAGUAUGUGGUUAGCUGCCGGAGGCUCAGUGGUAACAGACUGCUGUAAGCCUUGCAUUUUGGACUUUCUUCUGUGGGCAAUGGGGAGCCGUUGAAGGCUGCAGAGCCCGAGUGUGGCUUGUUCAAAGGAGUGUUUUAGGACUAACCAUCUGGUAUGGACUGGAUGCAGACAGAACCAGUUAGCGGGCUAGUACAGUGGUUGUCUAGGCAUGGAGCCAGGGAUAGCAGUGGCUGCAGAGGGCGGGGUGUUUCUAAAACAAUGGGCAGGAGCUGGUGGGUUAGACCCCACGCAAUAGUGGGGAACUAGGAAGGCAGUGGUGCCAGUGACAUGAAGGGAACUGGGCGGAAGUGGAGGCAGGAGGCAGUGCCUCUGCUGGGGGAUGUUACUAGCUCCGAGUCAGGGAGAUGGGGUUGCCUGAUUUACCCCCCAAAAUACAGGAUGCCUUGUUAGAUUUGAGUUUCACAUAAACAACACAUACUUUUUUGGUGUAAGUCUGUCUCAUGCAAUAUUUGGGACAUACUUAUACUAAAAAAAAUAUGGAUCGUCUACGUCGAAUUCAAAUUCGACCCGGCAUCCUGUACUUUAUGUGGCAGAAUAUCAGCUGAUGGGGCACAGGGUGGGUCAGAGGCUCAGGAGACCAGCGAGGUCUGGAAAUGUACACUGGGAGUCUUGGCCAGAGAUGAGGAGUGGAGUCUUGGGAGUUGAUGGAUCCCAAAGAAAAGGGACACACACAUUCUCUCUCUCUCUCUCUCUCUCUCUCUCUCUCUCUCACACACACACACACACACACACACACACAUGCACACAGAUUUCAGGACACGUGGUGCCUCAAGGCCACUGCUAGCUCAUAUGAUAUCUUCCGUGAAAUUUUUUAAAAAGCACCCUUUCCUCAACACUUGCAUCUAUUGUAAAAUAGUGGAAAUCUGAUUAUGCUUGAGUCAGACGCUUUACUGCCAUCUGCUGGAAAGUUGUAGUAAAUACAAAAAUCUGUCUCCUGAAUGGCGCUCUUUUUUUUUUUUUUUUAAUUUAUUUCUGAGACAGAGAGAGACAGAGCAUGAAUGGGGGAGGGGCAGAGAGAGAGGGAGACACAGAAUCGGAAACAGGCUCCAGGCUCUUAGCCAUCAGCCCAGAGCCCGACGUGGGGCUGGAACUCACGGACCGCGAGAUGGUGACCUGAGCUGAUGUCGGAUGCUUCACCGACUGAGCCACCCAGGCGCCCCCUGAACGGUGCCCUUUGAUGUGGUUCCCUUGUGGGUGCUUUGGUUCCGGUACCCUGGGUCUCUUACUCGGGGGCCUGGCCCUGGUUUUUCAGGCUGCCCUGGAGGCCACAGGGAUGGGGAAACAUGGCAACCAGAGCCCUGUGUCAUCUGCACCUGCCAGGUAAGGGAAUCAGAGCCUAGUCCCGGCCGCCACGCACAUCCCUCGGCAUGCCGAGCCCAAUCUGGGGGCCAGACAGAGCUGCUGCUGCCACCCAGGCCUCGAGGCCUGCAUCCUGCUAGGCCCACCAGGCCUGCGGAGUAACUCAGCUCGGGCAGUGGAGAGGGAGGGAGGGCUCAGUGUCUGCCCUGCAGGCAGGGACCGUGCGGUGCCAGGGGCCCUCAUGUGCAGAGCUCAACUGCCUGGAGAGCUACACCCCACCUGGGGAGUGCUGCCCUGUCUGCCGGCCAGGUGACCUCUCGCCCCACCCUGCCCCUCCAUCCCCUCAGCCCCGGAGGGUCCGGUACCUACUUGGGGUCAUGCCUUCCCUUGGGUGAUGUCCACUCGCCCUGCUCUCUGCUGACCCGCCUGUCAUCCUGACAACCCUCCCCAGGCUGUGAGUAUGAGGGGCGGCCUUAUGAAGAGGGGGCCAACUUCCUGUCCAGCACCGACCCUUGUCUCCAAUGCUCCUGCCUGGUGAGUCCCCACCCGCCUCGUUCAGGCCUUGCCCCUCCAUAUACUCUCCCUGCUCCCCCUUGGGUCACACCUGCUGGUUUUUCAUAUACCUCCCAAGACCUCCUGCCGGUGAGGCUCACCCUCCAUCGCGGUCCUGUGCCCCACCCCUCCAAGGAUGUCUGACGCUUGUCCACCCUGCCCUGUCUGGGAGCCAGACCGGGUGGCUUUACAGCGACUGGUGUAUUACAGAGGAGCCUGGUUCGCUGUGCGCCCAUCAAGUGUCCACCCAGCCCCUGCCCUGAGCCAGUCCUGAGGCCUGGCCACUGCUGCCCGACCUGCCAAGGUGAGAGCCCUGACCCUUCCCUGGUAGAGCUCCAGGUGGGGACGUCACAGCAUUUCUUCAGCUCCAGAGCCCAUUCUGCUGGCCCUGACCUGGGGGGUUGGUCAGUGGGGAAGCGAUGCCCGGCCAACGCUGCUCUGGAGCUGAGGUGCCUGGGCUCAAAUCCCGCCCUUGCCAUUUCGUGGCCGGGUACCUCUGAGGGAGUUACUCUGGGUCUCGAUUCCCCAUUUGUGAGGUGUGGAUAAUGCCAUUCUAUACCUUGAUAAAUGCUGAGCAUUUUCAUUUGCUAUGUGCACGGAAGACACAAGGGGGCCCCCCCCUCCAAGAAGACCACUAGAGGGUGACACUGAGUCACACACCAGCACUAUUAGAAGUCACACACCAGCAGUAUUAGAAGCAGGUGCCGGGCACUGUGGACACUCAGAGGAAGGAGACCUAAUCCAGCCUGGACACAGGAAGGAAAGCGUCCUGGAGGCGGCGCGUCCUGAGUGAACCUUCAGGAUAAAGAGCAGUUAGCUAGGGGAAGGGUGGAAUAAGGCAGAGGGCAUUCCAGGAAGAGAGGAGAGCUUGCACAAAGGCUCGGGACGGACAGUCAUGUGAGGUGGGUGUGUGGUAGGUGGGAAGGUGCAAAUGUACGCGAAUGGCCAAAGCUUACGGCGAGAGGUGAGGAGGGGCCAAGAGCUGGGGGGAGGUGGGCGUGGCCACACUGCGUCCCGGGAGGCCUUGCACUGGAAGCCCUCAGGAGUCUAGGCAGAGGCAUGGCCUGGUCUGGUCUGGGCUCAGGGCAUGUGAAAGAGGGUCGGGGCCGGCUGAAGCUGCUAUCCAGGCCGGCUCCUUCCAGGCUUCCUCUGUGUCCAUCUUUACCUCAACCCCAGGCUGCACGGAAGGUGGCUCUCGCUGGGAUCAUGGCCAAGAGUGGACUGCCCCUGGGGACCCCUGCCGGAUCUGCCGGUGCCUGGUGAGUCCCUCCUCUGCUCCCACACCCCUCACCCCGCCCCAUCCCCAGGCCAACCAUAUUCAUCCCUUCAUUUCACUGAGCACAUCCCCUAUGCACUGGGAGGGGACAGAGGUGGAGAAGACCUGAUCCUGGGCGCUAUGAGGGUGAGGAUGGGGCUGUGCCCAGCUGUAUGCCCAGUUCUGAGCAUCGUAGAUGUGCAGCGUGGGUUUGCGAAUGAACUCAAAGAGCUUGCAAGCUCCGGAAGUGAGGCAGGUCAGGAUAUGACAGGCAGCAACAGCUCGGGGGAGAGAGAAAUGCAGAUUACGUGGAGACAUCUAGAACUGCGCUGUCCCGUCUGUGGCCACCACCGCAUGUGGCCACUGAGCCCUUGAAAGUAGCUGUCCAGUUGGAGAUGGGCUGAAGUGCAAAAUGUGGGAUUUUAAAGACUUAGGACAAAAGAAAGGAAUAUAAAACAUCUCAUUGCUACUUUAUGUUGAAAUCACUUUUGGGGGGGCGCCUGAGUGGCUCCAUCGGUUAAGUAACCGACGUCAGCUCAGGUCAUGAUUCCAUGGUUGGAGGUUCGUGAGUUCGAGCCCUGAGUUGGGCUCUGCAUGGACAAUGUGGAGCCUACUUUGGAUUCUCUGUCUCCCUUUCUCUCUGUCCCUCCCCUGCUGGUACUCUUUCAAAAAUAAAUAGGGGCACCUGGGUGGCUCAGUCGGUUAAGCAUCUGACUUUGGGUCUGGUCAUGAUCUCGUGGUCCGUGAGCUCGAGCCCCGCAUCGGGCUCUGUGCUGACAGCUUAGAGGCUGGAGCCUGCUUCGGAUUCUGUGUUUCCCUCUCUCCCUGCCCCUCCCCAAGUCAUGCUCUGUCUCUGUCUCUCCCUCUCUCUCUCUCAAGAAUAAACAUUAAAAUUUUUUUAAAUAAAUAAACAUUUUUUGAAGUUUUUUAAAAAAGAAAUAACUUUAGGAUAUAGUCAGUUGAAUGGAAUAUAUAUUAUUAUUUAGUUUCAUCUGUUCCUUUUUGAAAUUUGACUGCUAGAGUAAUUUAAUUUAUUUUAUUUUUUUGAGUGAGAGAGAGCAUGUGUGUGCAAGCAGGGGAGAAGCAGAGAGAGGGAGGGAGAGAAUCCCAAGCAGGCUCCGUACCCAGCACAGAGCCUGACACAGGGCUCGAUCUCACAACCAUGAGAUCAUGACCUGACCCAAAAUCAAGAGUUGGAUGCUUAACCCACUGAGCCACUCAGGCACCCUUACUAGAGAAUUUAAAAUGACUUACGACUUGUGUUAUGUUUCUACUGGGCAACACAGAUCUAGAAAAUCUUCAUGGAAGGGAUGGUGUUUACCUAGGUCUUAAAGGGUGAGUAGCGUUUAAGCAGGAAGAAAUGGGGGAAGACAUUCCAGGUGCUAUGAACUGAAUGUUUGUGUCUCCCCCAAGUUCAUAUGUUGAAAUCCUAACCCCAAGGUGAUCGUAUUUAGAGGUAGGGCCUUUGGGAGGUGCUUAGGUCAUGAGGGUGGAGCCCUCAUGAAUGGGAUUAGUGUCUUUGUAGAAGGGACCCCAAAGAGCUAGCUCCUCUCUUCAGCCACGUGAAAACAGUGAAAAAGCAGGUGUCUAGGAACCUGGAAGCCGGUCCUUUUCAGACACUGAAUCUCCUGGCACCUUGAUCUUGGACUUCCCAACUUCCAGAACUGGGAGAAGUAAAUUUCUGUUGUCUAUAAGCCCCCCAGCCUAUGGGAUUUCAUUACAGCAACCCAAGUGGACUAAGACACCAGGUGUAGGGAACAGUCAGGGCGAAGCCUGGGGGAAGAAGGUGGGGACGUGGAAACGUCAUGUCCAGGCAGGGAGCAUCCUGAGAAGGGUUGUGUUUCAAGCCAGAGCCAUACAGCUUCCUGACAGCCUACCAAGGUCUGAAGACUCCACUGCGAAGGCCAUGGGGCAUCCAUCCCCUUUGCAACCACGUGCCUCCCUUCCCUGUUCACAUGGACCACCCUCCCGACACCCGUGAGAAGAGUCACUGGCUGCCCACUUACGGGACUGGACAUAGUGAGCCCUGAUGUAGGUGGGAACUCAAAGGGCGGGGGUCUGUCCGGGAACAGCCGUGGCGAGUAGCAGCAGCUACUGUUUACUCGCCAGCUUCCAGAGGUGGCUGUCACACCGGACACCAUAUCUCAUUUCAUUCCCAUAACAAGGCUGUGAGGACAGGACUAUUACUGUCUUUGCCGAUGGGUAAACUGAGUCACAGAGAGCUUCAGUAACGCGCUGGGCACCAUAACAAAGUACCGCAAAGGGGUUUGGCUUAAACAACAGAAAUGUAUCAUCUCGUGGUUCAGGAGGUCAGAAGUCCAAGGUCAAGGUGUCCUUCCGAGGGCUGUAAGAGGGAAUCUGUUCCAGGCCUCUCUCCUGGCUUUUGGUGGUUUGCUGGCAAUCCUUGGUAUCCCUUGGCUUCUGCCUUGAUCUUCACAUGUUGCUCUCCCUGUGUGUGUCUGUGUUCAAAUUUCCCCUUUUUUAAGGACGCAGUUUUUGGAGGGGCCACCCCACUCCAGUAUGACCUCAGCUUAACUAAUUAUAUAUGGAGUGACCCUAUUUCCAAAUACGUCGUGUUCUGGGGUGCGAGGGGUUAGGACUUCAACAUAUGAAUUUGGAGGGGGGCACAGCUCAACUCAUAACAACAUCUAGUAAGCGCAUCGUGGGAACUCGACUGCCAUUUCUGCCACUUGACGGAGCUCUAAUGGCCCCUUCCCCUGCCCGCUGUGCCCCCUCCCAGGAGGGCCACAUUCAGUGCCGCCAGCGAGAAUGCUCCAGCCUGUGCCCGUACCCUGCCCGGCCUCGUCCAGGCACCUGCUGCCCGCUGUGCGAUGGUGAGUCAGUGGGUGGAGUCUGGAGUGGGGGUCCAGAAAGCUCACCUGUGGCCCAGCUCAGUCUCCCAUGAAGGCCAGGACUUUAAGGCACCCUAUUCCCCAACAGGCUGUUUCCUAAAUGGGCGGGAGUACCGCAGCGGAGAGCCCGUGGGCUCUGGGGACCCCUGCUCGCGCUGCCACUGUGCCGUGAGUGUGGCUGGCCUGGCAGGGAGGGCCUGGCUUCUGGGCCUGCCUCUUGAAUGCUGAUCAGGCCCUGUUGGCAGAACGGGAGUGUCCAGUGUGAGCCUCUGCCCUGCCCGCCCGUGCCCUGCAGACACCCAGGCAGGAUCCCUGGCCAGUGCUGCCCAGUCUGUGAUGGUGAGCUGGGGACUCGAGUCACCGGGAGAGGGGCAAGCACUGGCCCAAGAGAGGCUCGGGAGGGGGGCGGGGUCGGGCGUUUAGACCUACAGGAAGCUCCCUUGAACUAAAGUGCAGGACAAGUCCUUGAUCGGCCUAGGCUCCCGUCACCACGGGUGAGGGUCACGUUCUCACCUUCUCAUGGCACACUGGGCACCAUGGCGGGGCCCUUGAUCCUGGAGGUAGGGGAGGCUGGCUCAUCAGGGUUGGGGGGGGUGGAUGCUUUGAGGUGACGUGAGGCUUCCCCAUCAGCCUCCAGCCCUGCCCCCGGUCCCCCUGUCCUCCUGACCAGGCUGUGAGUACCAGGGACACCAGUACCAGAGUGAGGAGACCUUCCGACUCCAAGAGAGGGGGCGCUGCAUCCGCUGCUCCUGCCAGGUAGCCAGUCGCGCCCUCUCACACCCCAGAUCUGUCUCACCCCUUGAGGACCUCUCACCCGGCAUCCUUCCUAGGCUGGCGAGGUGUCCUGUGAGGAGCAGGCGUGCCCGGUUGCCCCCUGCACCCUGCCUGACUCUGGCCCCCAGCUCUGCCCAGGUAUGUGUGGGGAGGGAGAGAAAGAGGAACAGCUUCAAAGGAGUGCUGCUCGCAGGCGCUGAAGACGGAGGGGUUCCUUCACAAUAAGGGGGGCACUGUCCGGUCCACCAGCCACUCCCAGCGUGGGGUCAGAGGCCACCGUAGGCCUGGCAGAGCCAGGGCCCUGUGGUCUGGGAAGGUCAGGGGUGGCAGCAGGUGUCUCGGUUGCCAUGGUGACAGCCCCCCUUGCGGCAGCCUGCGUGCUGGAUGGAGAGGAGUUUGCUGAGGGGGUCCAGUGGGAGCCUGAUGGUCAGCCCUGCACGGCCUGCUCCUGUCAUGAUGGCGUGCCCAUGUGUGGGGCUGUGCUCUGCUCCCCACCCCCCUGCCAGCACCCUACCCAGCUCCCCGGUGAGUGCCCCACCCUGAUCUGGCCUUCCCCCCUGCUUUGUCCAGCCGGCCCAGAUCAGCUGGGCUCUGAUCAGUCUGCCUCCCCCAGGUGCCUGCUGCCCCAGCUGUGAGAGCUGCACCUACCACGGCCAAGUGUAUGCCAAUGGGCGGAACUUCACGGACGCGGAUAGCCCUUGCCGCGCCUGCCGCUGCGAGGUACCACCCCAGGCUUGCUACUGCCCUGCUGAGCCCCUCCUGGAGCCCACCCCCAUUGCCCUCUCCCCUGCUCCCAGGCUGGGACUGUGAGGUGCUCCUUGGUUGACUGCCCUCCCACAACUUGUGCCAGGCCCCAGAGUGGACCCGACCAGUGCUGCCCCAGGUGCCCAGGUAUGUGCUUAUGACACUUGUCUGGCUUGGGGGCCCCGGAGCCAGCUCUCCCAUGGCCCCACGGGCUCAACAGAUACCCUAGCAAGCAACAGCCUUCUGAGUUGUUUUCAGACACAGCUUGGACUUUCUGGAACUCACAGGGUAUGGGUAGGAGGGAGAGUAGAGAGAUGUUUAUCCCUUCAUGUUCCUGUAUGUCCCUUCCCUCCUGUUCUGUAUUUCCUCCUCCAGUACCCUUACCGGUCAGAUAUAUUCCUGUGUCUAUAUAAAGCAGCUCCAUGCCACAAACGUUUGGGUCUGAUGUGCGGGAGACUGGGUGCUGGGAUGCAGUGUAACCUGGUCCCUGCCCCGCCCUCCUGGAGAGUCUGUACCAGAGCGUGUAUCACAAACACAGGCACGUUCAUGCACGAGCUCCUUGGCUGUUCACCCUCAGAGGCAUACACACAUGCAUCAGGUAAAUGGGCUCAAAUAUGCCUCCACAUGCGAGCGUGUGCUCGGAGAGAUACCCAUGCCUGCAUACACAGACCCUUCUUCCACUCUCUCUGUGGUGCUUCCUGCUGGCAUUUCCUCAGUGGCCCUGGACUCCAAGGAUAGAUGGGCUGUCAGCCCAUGCCUAGAACUGUCAGUCCUCGCCCCCACUCCUGCCCCUCUCCCUGCCCCAAUGCUCAGACUGCAUCCUGGAGGAACAAGUAUUUGUGGAUGGCGAGAGCUUCUCCCACCCCCGAGACCCCUGCCAGGAGUGCCGGUGUCAGGAAGGCCAUGCCCAUUGCCAGCCUCGGGCCUGCCCCAGGGCCCCUUGUGCCCAUCCACUGCCUGGCACCUGCUGCCAGAACGACUGCAAUGGUGAGGUGGAUGCCAUGGGGAAGGUGGGGGGGGGGCGGUCUCCUGGGAUGGCUUGGCCCCAUCUGUGGGCUUUUAGGGUCGGAAGGGCAGCCUCCCCGGGGAGGAAUGGGCCCCUCCCAGGCCUAUAGCUGCCCCCUCCCCCAGGCUGUGCCUUUGGCGGGAAAGAGUACCCUAACGGAGCAGACUUCCCCCACCCGUCUGAUCCCUGCCGUCAGUGUCGCUGUCUGGUGAGUCUGCCACCUGGGUGAGAGGAGGAGGCUAGGGGAGUAGGGGUGGGACUUGGGAGACCAGGAGAGGGCCCCCAAGGUGGCAGUCAGAGGGGUGGGGGUCUCCUCAGCCUCCCACCACUAACCGGCCUGGCGUGGGCCCUCUGUUGCAGAGCGGAAGCGUGCAGUGCCUCUCCCGCCGCUGCCCGCCGCUGCCCUGUCCAGAGCCGGUCCUGCUGCCCGGAGAGUGCUGCCCGCAGUGCCCCGGUAGGAUGCGCACACCCCUCGGGCAGAUCCGCAUGGGAGGGAGGGGCGAGCCUCCGCAGCCUCUCCUUGGAGCCCUGACUCGCGCACGCUCUCUGCAGCCACCUCCUCCGGCUGCCCGCGGCCAGGGGGCGGGGUCCCGGCCCGCCACCUAGAGUAUUUCUCCCAGCCCGACGACCCCUGCCGCCGCUGCCUCUGCCUCGAUGGCUCUGUGUCCUGCCAGCGGCUGCCCUGCCCGCCUGCUUCCUGCUCCCACCCGCGCCAAGGGCCCUGCUGCCCGUCCUGCGACGGUAACUGGCGCCCCCUCCCGGCCUAGGCAGCACCCCACCCCCACCUGCUCCCUCCAGCUCUGCCCCCAGCCUCACCCUACUCCGUCCCCUCUUAUGACAUGUCCCCCUUCCUCCAGCCCCUAACACUGCGCGACCCCAGUACCCCCCCUUCCUCCGGGCCCACCACUCCCACGUCGGGGUUCUCACUAAGAAUGUGGGGGGACACCGCCCUGUUGGCAGGGUCAGGGAGGCCGUGGUCCUGGCAGACGGCCACCACGACCGCCACUGCUCCUGCCUUGCUCGCCUGCCCGCCUAGGCUGCCUGUACCAGGGGAAGGACUUUGCCAGCGGGGAGCGUUUCCCUUCGCCCACUGCCUCGUGCCACGUCUGCCUCUGCUGGGAGGGCAGCGUCAGCUGCGAGCCCAGGGCCUGCGCACCUGCUCAGUGCCCCUUCCCCACCCGGGGUGACUGCUGCCCUGCCUGUGAUGGUGAGGGGCAGGGGACUGUGGGGAUGAGGGGCUGGGAAGGCCAGGUCAGCGUCAUCUUUACUGCCCUAGAGUGAGUCCCCAACAUCUGUCACCGUAACAGAAAACACUG